rnacentral:rRNA from 1 species
AUCGCUGGAUGCAUGAUGCUCGAAAACUACGGUGCCCAAGGAUAGGUCUGCGGCUGAUUAUGUUGUUGUUGAUGUAAUGGACCAACAAGCCUACAAUCGGUACGGGUUGAGAGAGCAAUAGCCCGGAGAUGGGUUCUGAGAAAAGAACCCAGGUCCUACGGGACGCAUCGGGCGCGAAAACUUUACAAUGUGCGAAAGCACGAUAAGGGAACUCUGAGUGCCCCCUAAGGGGGCUGUUCUAGUGUCUAAAAAGCAAUAAAAGUAAGGGCUGGGCAAGACCGGUGCCAUCCGCCGCGGUAACACCGGCAGCCCAAGGGGUAGCCACGUUUAUUGGGUCUAAAGCGUUCGUACCCGGCUUUGUAAGUUCCUUGGUAAAUUUAGCCGCUUAACGGUUAAGCUUUCAGGGAAUACUGCUUGGCUUGGGACUGGGAGAGGUCAAAGGUACUCCAGGGGUAGGGGUGAAAUCCAUUAAUCCUUGGGGGACCACCGGUAGCGAAGGCUUCUGACCAGACCAGCUCCGACGGUGAGGGACGAAGGCUAGGGGCGCGAACCGAAUUAGAUACCCGGGUAGUCCUAUCUGUAAACGAUGCGGGCUAGGUGUUGGCAUUACUGCGAGUGGUGCCAGUGCCGAAGGGAAGCCGUUAAGCUCGCCAUCUAGGGAGUACGGUCGCAAGGCUUAAACUUAAAGGAAUUGGCGGGGGAGCACCACAACGGGUGGAGCCUGCGGUUCAAUUGGAUUCAACGCC